AUUGAACGCUGGCGGCAGGCCUAACACAUGCAAGUCGAACGGUAACAGGAAGAAGCUUGCUUCUUUGCUGACGAGUGGCGGACGGGUGAGUAAUGUCUGGGAAACUGCCUGAUGGAGGGGGAUAACUACUGGAAACGGUAGCUAAUACCGCAUAACGUCGCAAGACCAAAGAGGGGGACCUUCGGGCCUCUUGCCAUCGGAUGUGCCCAGAUGGGAUUAGCUAGUAGGUGGGGUAACGGCUCACCUAGGCGACGAUCCCUAGCUGGUCUGAGAGGAUGACCAGCAACCUGGGAACUGGGACACGGACCAGACUACUAAGGGAGGCAGCAGUGGGGAAUAUUGGACAAUGGGCGGAAGCCUGAUGCAGCCAUGCGGCGUGUAUGAAGAAGGCCUUCGGGUUGUAAAGUACUUUCAGCGGGGAGGAAGGGAGUAAAGUUAAUACCUUUGCUCAUUGACGUUACCCGCAGAAGAAGCACCGGCUAACUACGUG
rnacentral:rRNA from 1 species